rnacentral:rRNA from 1 species
AGAGUUUGAUCCUGGCUCAGGACGAACGCUGGCGGCGUGCUUAACACAUGCAAGUCGUACGAGACGAUUGAAAGCUUGCUUUUGAAGGUCGAGUGGCAAACGGGUGAGUAACGCGUAGACAACCUGCCGUAAAGAUGGGGACAACAGUUCGAAAGGACUGCUAAUACCGAAUGUUGUAGAGUUUCCGCAUGGGGAUCCUACUAAAGGUGGCCUCUACUUGUAAGCUAUCGCUUUACGAUGGGUCUGCGUCUGAUUAGCUAGUUGGUGGGGUAACGGCCUACCAAGGCGACGAUCAGUAGCCGGUCUGAGAGGAUGAACGGCCACAUUGGAACUGAGACACGGUCCAGACUCCUACGGGAGGCAGCAGUGGGGAAUCUUCCGCAAUGGGCGCAAGCCUGACGGAGCAACGCCGCGUGAGUGAAGAAGGGUUUCGACUCGUAAAGCUCUGUUGUCGGGGACGAAUGUGGAGAUGGUGAAUAACCAUUUUCAAUGACGGUACCUGACGAGGAAGCCACGGCUAACUACGUGCUAGCAGCCGCGGU